AGAGUUUGAUCAUGGCUCAGGACGAACGCUGGCGGCGUGCUUAACACAUGCAAGUCGAACGAGGUCCACGGUGUAGCAAUACACCUGAAGACCUAGUGGCGAACGGGUGCGUAACACGUGAGGAACUUGUCCCGGUCUCUGGGAUAACAGUUGGAAACGACUGCUAAUACCGGAUGACGUCGGAGCAUCGCAUGGUGCGCUGACGAAAGGGUUACUGGAUCGGGAGAGCCUCGCGGCCUAUCAGCUUGUUGGUGGGGUAACGGCCCACCAAGGCAUCGACGGGUAGCUGGUCUGAGAGGAUGAUCAGCCACACUGGGACUGAGACACGGCCCAGACUCCUACGGGAGGCAGCAGUGGGGAAUCUUGCGCAAUGGGCGAAAGCCUGACGCAGCAACGCCGCGUGCGGGAUGAAGGCUCUCGGGUUGUAAACCGCUUUCAGCAGGAACGAAAAUGACGGUACUGCAGAAGAAG
rnacentral:rRNA from 1 species